rnacentral:tRNA from 1 species
GCGGGGGUUGCCAAGCCUGGCCAACGGCGCAGGUCCUCAUGUGUUACAAAAAUACAUGGUUGUGCGAGGCUUAGAAUGGGUCAGGUCUUUUCUCCUAAAACCCUGUUCCUAAGGGAUUCGUGGGUUCAAAUCCCACCCCCCGCA